AGCCCACAUCACAAAUAAUCUCUCGUAAGUUUUAGAAAGAUGAAGAAUAAAAGGAUUCACCCAAGGAACAAUAUCGUGAUUUACUAAUGGUUUUUUCUUUGCUUCUCUAGACAUUCUCGUCAUCUCUUUCAGAUUUCCAAACAGAAAUUGGUACGGCUGACCAUGAAUACCUUCCUUCUUCAGCUUCUUUUCGAUCAUCUUUGGCCACCACCAUAAUGUAUAAAACGAUUUUACAAAAAAUAGGGCUAUCAAAAUGCCAAUCGUUGCACCAAUUACUGUAACAAUUGCCAUUUGAUAGAUAUUUU
rnacentral:misc_RNA from 1 species